ACGAACGCUGGCGGCGUGCCUAAUACAUGCAAGUCGAACGCUUCUUUUUCCACCGGAGCUUGCUCCACCGGAAAAAGAGGAGUGGCGAACGGGUGAGUAACACGUGGGUAACCUGCCCAUCAGAAGGGGAUAACACUUGGAAACAGGUGCUAAUACCGUAUAACAAUCGAAACCGCAUGGUUUUGAUUUGAAAGGCGCUUUCGGGUGUCGCUGAUGGAUGGACCCGCGGUGCAUUAGCUAGUUGGUGAGGUAACGGCUCACCAAGGCGACGAUGCAUAGCCGACCUGAGAGGGUGAUCGGCCACAUUGGGACUGAGACACGGCCCAAACUCCUACGGGAGGCAGCAGUAGGGAAUCUUCGGCAAUGGACGAAAGUCUGACCGAGCAACGCCGCGUGAGUGAAGAAGGUUUUCGGAUCGUAAAACUCUGUUGUUAGAGAAGAACAAGGAUGAGAGUAACUGUUCAUCCCUUGACGGUAUCUAACCAGAAAGCCACGGCUAACUACGUGCCAGCAGCCGCGGUAAUACGUAGGUGGCAAGCGUUGUCCGGAUUUAUUGGGCGUAAAGCGAGCGCAGGCGGUUUCUUAAGUCUGAUGUGAAAGCCCCCGGCUCAACCGGGGAGGGUCAUUGGAAACUGGGAGACUUGAGUGCAGAAGAGGAGAGUGGAAUUCCAUGUGUAGCGGUGAAAUGCGUAGAUAUAUGGAGGAACACCAGUGGCGAAGGCGGCUCUCUGGGCGGGAACGGACGCUGAGGCUCGAAAGCGUGGGGAGCAAACAGGAUUAGAUACCCUGGUAGUCCACGCCGUAAACGAUGAGUGCUAAGUGUUGGAGGGUUUCCGCCCUUCAGUGCUGCAGCUAACGCAUUAAGCACUCCGCCUGGGGAGUACGACCGCAAGGUUGAAACUCAAAGGAAUUGACGGGGGCCCGCACAAGCGGUGGAGCAUGUGGUUUAAUUCGAAGCAACGCGAAGAACCUUACCAGGUCUUGACAUCCUUUGACCACUCUAGAGAUAGAGCUUCCCCUUCGGGGGCAAAGUGACAGGUGGUGCAUGGUUGUCGUCAGCUCGUGUCGUGAGAUGUUGGGUUAAGUCCCGCAACGAGCGCAACCCUUAUUGUUAGUUGCCAUCAUUUAGUUGGGCACUCUAGCAAGACUGCCGGUGACAAACCGGAGGAAGGUGGGGAUGACGUCAAAUCAUCAUGCCCCUUAUGACCUGGGCUACACACGUGCUACAAUGGGAAGUACAACGAGUCGCAAAGUCGCGAGGCUAAGCUAAUCUCUUAAAGCUUCUCUCAGUUCGGAUUGUAGGCUGCAACUCGCCUACAUGAAGCCGGAAUCGCUAGUAAUCGCGGAUCAGCACGCCGCGGUGAAUACGUUCCCGGGCCUUGUACACACCGCCCGUCACACCACGAGAGUUUGUAACACCCGAAGUCGGUGAGGUAACCUUUUGGAGCCAGCCGCCUAAGGUGGGAUAGAUGAUUGGGGUG
rnacentral:rRNA from 1 species